ACAGUUACGCGUUCUGAUUGGUCUAGAGUCUACAGUGACUGUAGACUCUAGACCAAUCAGAACGCGUAACUGUCUACAGUCGUUGCGCUACUGUAGACUCGACCCCUGCGAAUUUCCCAAAUGUGGAAAUCUCGAUUGCAUAAUUUCUGGUAGUGGGGGACUGCGUUCGCGCUCUCCCCUG
ensembl:snRNA U1 U1 spliceosomal RNA